UCGAGAAUCAUUCGCAAUGGGCGCAAGCCUGACGGUGCGACGUCGCGUGGAGGAUGAAGGUCUUCGGAUUGUAAACUCCUGUCAUGUGGGAUAAAUGGCCAGGGCAUGAAUAGUGCCUUGGAAUGAUAGUACCACAGGAGGAAGGGACGGCUAACUCUGUGCCAGCAGCCGCGGUAAUUCAGAGGUCCCGAGCGUUGUUCGGAUUUACUGGGCGUAAAGGGAGCGUAGGCGGUUUGGUGUGUCGAAUG
rnacentral:rRNA from 1 species